UGCCGCGUGUAGGAUGAAUGCCCUAUGGGUUGUAAACUACUUUUAUACAGGAAGAAACACUGGUAUGUAUACCAGCUUGACGGUACUGUAAGAAUAAGGACCGGCUAACUCCAUGCCAGCAGCCGCGGUAAU
rnacentral:rRNA from 1 species